AUUAGCGGCGGACGGGUGAGUAACACGUGGGCAACCUGCCUGUAAGACUGGGAUAACUCCGGGAAACCGGGGCUAAUACUGGAUAAUAUCUUUUUAUACAUAUAGGAAGAUUGAAAGAUGGUUCUGCUAUCACUUACAGAUGGGCCCGCGGCGCAUUAGCUAGUUGGUGAGGUAACGGCUCACCAAGGCGACGAUGCGUAGCCGACCUGAGAGGGUGAUCGGCCACACUGGGACUGAGACACGGCCCAGACUCCUACGGGAGGCAGCAGUAGGGAAUCUUCCGCAAUGGACGAAAGUCUGACGGAGCAACGCCGCGUGAGUGAUGAAGGUUUUCGGAUCGUAAAACUCUGUUGUUAGGGAAGAACAAGUAUCGGAGUAACUGCCGGUACCUUGACGGUACCUAACCAGAAAGCCACGGCUAACUACGUGCCAGCAGCCGCGGUAAUACGUAGGUGGCAAGCGUUGUCCGGAAUUAUUGGGCGUAAAGCGCGCGCAGGCGGUUCCUUAAGUCUGAUGUGAAAGCCCACGGCUCAACCGUGGAGGGUCAUUGGAAACUGGGGAACUUGAGUGCAGAAGAGGAAAGUGGAAUUCCAAGUGUAGCGGUGAAAUGCGUAGAGAUU
rnacentral:rRNA from 1 species